rnacentral:pre_miRNA from 1 species
AUGUGAGUCACCUGGGGAUCUUGUAAAAAUGCAGAUUUGGACCCAGUGGGUCUGGGCUAUGGCCUGAGAUUCUGCAUUUUUAACAACCUCCCAGGUGAUGCCAAC